UGUGUGUGUGUGUAUAUGUGUGUGUGCGACUUGUCAAAAAUUCUUUCUAUAAAUUUAAAAAAAAAAAGAAAAAUGUUAAAUAUAGAUACCAAAGAAAGUAAAAUAAUAAGAUUUAGAAAAAUUCCUAUUAUUACAUUAGUAUCAGGUGUAUCAGUAUGGGUGUAUCAGGUAACGCGUCGGUCAAUGUGAAACACUGACCGUUUCCCGCGUUAGCUGGCCUUCGAUUUUAGUUCAUUUAGCUCAUCAAGAUCAUUAUAUUUAUUAACGAUAAUUCUGAUAUUAUUAUUCAUUGAUUUAUCUCGUAAUACAAAACUCAUUUGGAAUAUCAAUCAAGCAUUCGCUGUAAAUUAUUUAGAUAUGAAAAGGAUUAUCGUUAUAUAUUCGAUUAUUGGUACGCUUUAUGUAUCAUGGCGGUGUACGUUGAAGGCAUCGAUGUCUUCGAACGUUCAACAUAAAUAGAAGCUUGGCGUGUGAAUCAUCAUUGGGUUCUUGCUCUUGAAACAGGAAGUAUAUUAUCGCUAGGAUAUUUUGUGCCAAUAACCUUUUUUUUCUCUUUUUCUUUUUCCUUUUUUUCCCACUAUUUUUAUUCUUUUCUUUUUUUUUUUUUUUUUUUUUACACAUGAUACCGUAAUUUUUGAUCUUAUGUAAAUACAUACAUAGAUACAUACAUGCAAUACGUAAUAUACUGUUCAUGUAAUUUUCUUUAUCUAUAGUUGUUUUGUUAAUUUUCUCAACAAAGUCUCAUAUGUGCCGUAAUCAAAUGUAUCCUAUUAUUCCCGACGGUAUUUACGAGCCAAUCCAAUUGGGGAAACAAUUUCCGACGUUUUCUCUGAACGAUCAUUAAAAAAGAAAAAAAAGAAGAAAACAAAAAAAAAUAAAAAAAUAAAAAAAGAUAAAAGAAGAAGAAACAUAUUAGAAAACGUUUAAGUAUCGUUAGAAAACUUUAAGAGUUAUUUGAAAGAGAUUUUGAUAAUAUGAUAAUUAAUUAUUCUAAUUAGAUUUGAAAUCAUUAUGAAAGACCCGUUAUAUUCCUAAUCAGAGCAAUGAAUGUGUGAUAUAUAUAUAUAUAUAUAUAUAUAUAUAUAUAUAUAUAUAUAUAUUUAUAUAUAAAAGAUAGCUUUUCACAUAAUAAUACGUGUUAAUUUAGAGUGUUACAUUAUUCGAAGGAAAGAGGAUUAGAAAAUAAGGGUGUGGUAUGUUUGUCUUUGUGUUUUCCUAAUCGAUCGGACGAAAUAAAGUAUGGUACUUCGUUUAUAUACCUGUUGUCCUUUUUCUGUUUUUUUUUCUUUUUUUGUUGUUUCACAGACGACAGCAUUACGUUACAAGUGAUUAUAAAUUAUAUAUAUAUAUAUAAAUUUUUAUAUUUUUAUAUUGAACAAUUUAUAUUUUCAUACAAAUGUUUGCCACAAAAUAAAAAAGCAACAGUAAUAAUAAUAAUUGAUUAAUAAUUAGUUGUAAACUUAGGUGACGAAUUAAUCAUUUUCCAGCAUAAUUGUUUCUUAAAUAAAUCUAUCGAUUUAAAUAUUGAACAAAAUGCAUUCAUCUCAUUUGAUAUGUUAAUCUUAAAAAUUAGUAAGGGAAGUGGAGAGGAUUAGAGAUUAUAUUUAAGUAUUCAUUCAUUCAUUCAUUCAUUCAUUCAUUCAUUUAUUCAUUCAUUCAUCAUACCAUUCAUUUGGACGUUUCAAGAGACAAUGCAUUUAUACAAUCACAACUGUGAGAUCAUCACUUUCAGAGUAAUAAACUUGGCAAGGCUAUAACACGAAAAAUGCCUUCUCUCAUCCCUUUAAUUCUUCAAAUGUACAGUUUCCGUUCUCUUCCGGUUCAUCAACGACUCUAACAACGUUGUAAAACGAGCCAAGUAACAUAGGGUGUGCUGGGUUUGGGGGAGGAGGAGAAGAAGGAGAAGGGGAGGUACGGAGGGCCCUCUUGUUUUCGUUAAUCUCGACAAUUUAAAACAAAGGGAAUGAUACUUUGAUCCUUAAUCUAAUCUUUUUCUAUUUCUCUCACUCCCUCUCUGUUUCUCUCUGUUUCAAUAGUACAGGAAGACCCACAAUAACAAUCGGAUAGGGUUACUGUGUGUGAUUGUGUCCUCUCGUGUAAUUAGCUCAGAAGCCUGUCACUGUUUCACUAUUGCAGUUUUAUGCAAAUUACACUGAGCUUCAAAAUUCACCUCACGAUUUAUCCUUGCUUGUUCGUUCGAUAGAAAUUGAUAAGAGCUCGAUAGCAUAUGUAUUCAUACUGUCGGAUCACAAAUCAAACACGCCGCAAGACCUUGCUUAGAGGUAAAUCAAGUGGCGUGUGUGUUGGUAUCAAUAUCCAAGGAUCGUAUAAUAAAGGCACCUUGAGCGCGCACAUGUUCAAACGAGGACACGUUCGUAUUAGAUUUA